GUGCCAGCAGCCGCGGUAAGACGUAGGACGCGAGCGUUAUCCGGAUUUACUGGGCGUAAAGCGUGUGUAGGCGGCGUGACAAGUUGGGCGUGAAAGCCCCGUGCUCAACGCGGGGAGGCCGCACAAUACUGUCAGGCUAGAGGGCACCGGAGGGGUGUGGAAUUCCCGGAGUAGCGGUAAAAUGCGCAGAUAUCGGGAGGAACACCGGUGGCGAAAGCGGCACCCUGGGGUGCGCCUGACGCUGAGAGACGACAGCUAGGGGAGCGAACAGGAUUAGAGACCCUGGUAGUCCUAGCCGUAAACGAUGGAUGCUAGGUGUAGGAGUGAAGAGCUUCUGUGCCGCAGCGAACGCGAUAAGCAACCCGCCUGGGGAGUACGGCCGCAAGGUUAAAACUCAAACGAAUUGACGGGGACCCGCACAAGCAGCGGAGCGUGUGGUUUAAUUCGAUGCUACACGAAGAACCUUACCUGGGAUUGACAUAUGGGUGGUAGUGAUCCGAAAGGAGAGCGACCCUUCGGGGAGCCUAUACAGGUGCUGCAUGGCUGUCGUCAGCUCGUGCCGUGAGGUGUCGGGUUAAGUCCCGUAACGAGCGCAACCCUUGUCCUUAGUUACAAGUGUCUAAGGGGACUGCCGGCGGGAAGCCGGAGGAAGGUGGGGAUGACGUCAAGUCAGCAUGGCCCUUAUAUCCAGGGGGACACACACACUACAAUGGUCGGUGCAGAGGGCAGCGAAGCCGCGAGGUGGAGCGAAACCCAGAAAGCCGGUCGUAGUUCGGAUUGCAGGCUGCAACUCGCCUGCAUGAAGU
rnacentral:rRNA from 1 species